UUCGACACACUAUCAUUAACUGAAUCCAUAGGUUAAUGAGGCGAACCGGGGGAACUGAAACAUCUAAGUACCCCGAGGAAAAGAAAUCAACCGAGAUUCCCCCAGUAGCGGCGAGCGAACGGGGAGCAGCCCAGAGCCUGAAUCAGUAUGUGUGUUAGUGGAAGCGUCUGGAAAGGCGCGCGAUACAGGGUGACAGCCCCGUACACAAAAAUGCACAUGCUGUGAGCUCGAUGAGUAGGGCGGGACACGUGGUAUCCUGUCUGAAUAUGGGGGGACCAUCCUCCAAGGCUAAAUACUCCUGACUGACCGAUAGUGAACCAGUACCGUGAGGGAAAGGCGAAAAGAACCCCGGCGAGGGGAGUGAAAAAGAACCUGAAACCGUGUACGUACAAGCAGUGGGAGCACAGAGCAAUCUGUGUGACUGCGUACCUUUUGUAUAAUGGGUCAGCGACUUAUAUUCUGUAGCAAGGUUAACCGAAUAGGGGAGCCGAAGGGAAACCGAGUCUUAACUGGGCGUUAAGUUGCAGGGUAUAGACCCGAAACCCGGUGAUCUAGCCAUGGGCAGGUUGAAGGUUGGGUAACACUAACUGGAGGACCGAACCGACUAAUGUUGAAAAAUUAGCGGAUGACUUGUGGCUGGGGGUGAAAGGCCAAUCAAACCGGGAGAUAGCUGGUUCUCCCCGAAAGCUAUUUAGGUAGCGCCUCGUGAAUUCAUCUCCGGGGGUAGAGCACUGUUUCGGCAAGGGGGUCAUCCCGACUUACCAACCCGAUGCAAACUGCGAAUACCGGAGAAUGUUAUCACGGGAGACACACGGCGGGUGCUAACGUCCGUCGUGAAGAGGGAAACAACCCAGACCGCCAGCUAAGGUCCCAAAGUCAUGGUUAAGUGGGAAACGAUGUGGGAAGGCCCAGACAGCCAGGAUGUUGGCUUAGAAGCAGCCAUCAUUUAAAGAAAGCGUAAUAGCUCACUGGUCGAGUCGGCCUGCGCGGAAGAUGUAACGGGGCUAAACCAUGCACCGAAGCUGCGGCAGCGACACUAUGUGUUGUUGGGUAGGGGAGCGUUCUGUAAGCCUGUGAAGGUGUACUGUGAGGUAUGCUGGAGGUAUCAGAAGUGCGAAUGCUGACAUAAGUAACGAUAAAGCGGGUGAAAAGCCCGCUCGCCGGAAGACCAAGGGUUCCUGUCCAACGUUAAUCGGGGCAGGGUGAGUCGACCCCUAAGGCGAGGCCGAAAGGCGUAGUCGAUGGGAAACAGGUUAAUAUUCCUGUACUUGGUGUUACUGCGAAGGGGGGACGGAGAAGGCUAUGUUGGCCGGGCGACGGUUGUCCCGGUUUAAGCGUGUAGGCUGGUUUUCCAGGCAAAUCCGGAAAAUCAAGGCUGAGGCGUGAUGACGAGGCACUACGGUGCUGAAGCAACAAAUGCCCUGCUUCCAGGAAAAGCCUCUAAGCAUCAGGUAACAUCAAAUCGUACCCCAAACCGACACAGGUGGUCAGGUAGAGAAUACCAAGGCGCUUGAGAGAACUCGGGUGAAGGAACUAGGCAAAAUGGUGCCGUAACUUCGGGAGAAGGCACGCUGAUAUGUAGGUGAAGUCCCUCGCGGAUGGAGCUGAAAUCAGUCGAAGAUACCAGCUGGCUGCAACUGUUUAUUAAAAACACAGCACUGUGCAAACACGAAAGUGGACGUAUACGGUGUGACGCCUGCCCGGUGCCGGAAGGUUAAUUGAUGGGGUCAGCGCAAGCGAAGCUCUUGAUCGAAGCCCCGGUAAACGGCGGCCGUAACUAUAACGGUCCUAAGGUAGCGAAAUUCCUUGUCGGGUAAGUUCCGACCUGCACGAAUGGCGUAAUGAUGGCCAGGCUGUCUCCACCCGAGACUCAGUGAAAUUGAACUCGCUGUGAAGAUGCAGUGUACCCGCGGCAAGACGGAAAGACCCCGUGAACCUUUACUAUAGCUUGACACUGAACAUUGAGCCUUGAUGUGUAGGAUAGGUGGGAGGCUUUGAAGUGUGGACGCCAGUCUGCAUGGAGCCGACCUUGAAAUACCACCCUUUAAUGUUUGAUGUUCUAACGUUGACCCGUAAUCCGGGUUGCGGACAGUGUCUGGUGGGUAGUUUGACUGGGGCGGUCUCCUCCUAAAGAGUAACGGAGGAGCACGAAGGUUGGCUAAUCCUGGUCGGACAUCAGGAGGUUAGUGCAAUGGCAUAAGCCAGCUUGACUGCGAGCGUGACGGCGCGAGCAGGUGCGAAAGCAGGUCAUAGUGAUCCGGUGGUUCUGAAUGGAAGGGCCAUCGCUCAACGGAUAAAAGGUACUCCGGGGAUAACAGGCUGAUACCGCCCAAGAGUUCAUAUCGACGGCGGUGUUUGGCACCUCGAUGUCGGCUCAUCACAUCCUGGGGCUGAAGUAGGUCCCAAGGGUAUGGCUGUUCGCCAUUUAAAGUGGUACGCGAGCUGGGUUUAGAACGUCGUGAGACAGUUCGGUCCCUA
rnacentral:rRNA from 1 species